rnacentral:rRNA from 1 species
CAGCCGCCGCGGUAAAACGUAGGUGGCAAGCGUUGUCCGGAAUUAUUGGGCGUAAAGGGCUCGCAGGCGGUUUCUUAAGUCUGAUGUGAAAGCCCCCGGCUCAACCGGGGAGGGUCAUUGGAAACUGGGAAACUUGAGUGCAGAAGAGGAGAGUGGAAUUCCACGUGUAGCGGUGAAAUGCGCAGAGAUGUGGAGGAACACCAGUGGCGAAGGCGACUCUCUGGUCUGUAACUGACGCUGAGGAGCGAAAGCGUGGGGAGCGAACAGGAUUAGAUACCCGAGUAGUCCCUGUCUCUUAUAC